rnacentral:rRNA from 1 species
UUAAGCGACUAAGCGUACACGGUGGAUGCCCAGGCAGUCAGAGGCGAUGAAGGGCGUGCUAAUCUGCGAUAAGCGUCGGUAAGGUGAUAUGAACCGCAACAACCGACGAUACCCGAAUGGGGAAACCCAGUGCAAUCCGUUGCACUAUCAUGUCAUGAAUACAUAGUGGCAUGAGGCGAACCGGGGGAACUGAAACAUCUAAGUACCCCGAGGAAAAGAAAUCAACCGAGAUUCCCCCAGUAGCGGCGAGCGAACGGGGAACAGCCCAGAACCUGAAUCAGUUUGUGCCUUAGUGGAAGCGUCUGGAAAGUCGCGCAGUAAAGGGUGACAGCCCCGUACACAAAAAGGCACUUGCUGUGAGUUCGAUGAGUAGGGCGGGACACGUGACAUCCUGUCUGAAUAUGGGGGGACCAUCCUCCAAGGCUAAAUACUCCUGACUGACCGAUAGUGAACCAGUACCGUGAGGGAAAGGCGAAAAGAACCCCGGCGAGGGGAGUGAAACAGAACCUGAAACCGUGUACGUACAAGCAGUGGGAGCACCUUCGUGGUGUGACUGCGUACCUUUUGUAUAAUGGGUCAGCGACUUAUAUUCUGUAGCAAGGUUAACCGUAUAGGGGAGCCGCAGGGAAACCGAGUCUUAACUGGGCGUUAAGUUGCAGGGUAUAGACCCGAAACCCGGUGAUCUAGCCAUGGGCAGGUUGAAGGUUGGGUAACACUAACUGGAGGACCGAACCGACUAAUGUUGAAAAAUUAGCGGAUGACCUGUGGCUGGGGGUGAAAGGCCAAUCAAACCGGGAGAUAGCUGGUUCUCCCCGAAAGCUAUUUAGGUAGCGCCUCGUGAAUUCAUCUCCGGGGGUAGAGCACUGUUUCGGCUAGGGGGCCAUCCCGGCUUACCAACCCGAUGCAAACUGCGAAUACCGGAGAAUGUUAUCACGGGAGACACACGGCGGGUGCUAACGUCCGUCGUGAAGAGGGAAACAACCCAGACCGCCAGCUAAGGUCCCAAAGUCAUGGUUAAGUGGGAAACGAUGUGGGAAGGCACAGACAGCCAGGAUGUUGGCUUAGAAGCAGCCAUCAUUUAAAGAAAGCGUAAUAGCUCACUGGUCGAGUCGGCCUGCGCGGAAGAUGUAACGGGGCUAAACCAUGCACCGAAGCUGCGGCAGCGGACGUAUCACCCAAGCAGAUUCACUGAAGUGGAUAACGAUUGACGGAGCGCAGCGACGUCAAUGCGCCAUCAAAGUCGAGUCGACUUCGGGAUACGUCCGUUGGGUAGGGGAGCGUUCUGUAAGCCGUCGAAGGUGUGCUGUGAGGCAUGCUGGAGGUAUCAGAAGUGCGAAUGCUGACAUAAGUAACGAUAAAGCGGGUGAAAAGCCCGCUCGCCGGAAGACCAAGGGUUCCUGUCCAACGUUAAUCGGGGCAGGGUGAGUCGACCCCUAAGGCGAGGCCGAAAGGCGUAGUCGAUGGGAAACGGGUUAAUAUUCCCGUACUGGGUGUUACUGCGAAGGGGGGACGGAGAAGGCUAUGUUAGCCGGGCGACGGUUGUCCCGGUUUAAGCGUGCAGGCUUGAGUUCCAGGCAAAUCCGGAACUCUUUAAGGCUGAGGCGUGAUGACGAGGCACCACGGUGCUGAAGUAACAAAUGCCCUGCUUCCAGGAAAAGCCUCUAAGCAUCAGGUAACAUCCAAUCGUACCCCAAACCGACACAGGUGGUCAGGUAGAGAAUACCAAGGCGCUUGAGAGAACUCGGGUGAAGGAACUAGGCAAAAUGGUGCCGUAACUUCGGGAGAAGGCACGCUGGCGCGUAGGUGAAGCGACUUGCUCGUGGAGCUGAAGCCAGUCGAAGAUACCAGCUGGCUGCAACUGUUUAUUAAAAACACAGCACUGUGCAAACACGAAAGUGGACGUAUACGGUGUGACGCCUGCCCGGUGCCGGAAGGUUAAUUGAUGGGGUUAUCCGUAAGGAGAAGCUCUUGAUCGAAGCCCCGGUAAACGGCGGCCGUAACUAUAACGGUCCUAAGGUAGCGAAAUUCCUUGUCGGGUAAGUUCCGACCUGCACGAAUGGCGUAAUGAUGGCCAGGCUGUCUCCACCCGAGACUCAGUGAAAUUGAACUCGCUGUGAAGAUGCAGUGUACCCGCGGCAAGACGGAAAGACCCCGUGAACCUUUACUACAGCUUGACACUGAACAUUGAGCCUUGAUGUGUAGGAUAGGUGGGAGGCUUUGAAGCGUGGACCACAGUCUGCGUGGAGCCAACCUUGAAAUACCACCCUUUAACGUUUGAUGUUCUAACCUGGCGCCGUAAUCCGGCGUGGGGACAGUGUCUGGUGGGUAGUUUGACUGGGGCGGUCUCCUCCCAAAGAGUAACGGAGGAGCACGAAGGUCAGCUAAUCACGGUCGGACAUCGUGAGGUUAGUGCAAUGGCAUAAGCUGGCUUGACUGCGAGAGUGACGGCUCGAGCAGGUGCGAAAGCAGGUCAUAGUGAUCCGGUGGUUCUGAAUGGAAGGGCCAUCGCUCAACGGAUAAAAGGUACUCCGGGGAUAACAGGCUGAUACCGCCCAAGAGUUCAUAUCGACGGCGGUGUUUGGCACCUCGAUGUCGGCUCAUCACAUCCUGGGGCUGAAGUAGGUCCCAAGGGUACGGCUGUUCGCCGUUUAAAGUGGUACGCGAGCUGGGUUUAGAACGUCGUGAGACAGUUCGGUCCCUAUCUGCCGUGGGCGCUGGAAGAUUGAGAGGGGUUGCUCCUAGUACGAGAGGACCGGAGUGAACGCACCGCUGGUGUUCGGGUUGUCAUGCCAAUGGCAUUGCCCGGUAGCUAAGUGCGGAAAAGAUAAGCGCUGAAAGCAUCUAAGCGCGAAACUUGCCUCGAGAUGAAUCUUCCCUGACUCCUUGAGAGUCCUGAAGGGACGUUGAAGACGACGACGUUGAUAGGCCGGGUGUGUAAGCGCAGCGAUGCGUUGAGCUAACCGGUACUAAUGACCCGUGAGGCUUAACCUU